CAGGUAACGAAACUGCGAAUAGCUCAUUAAUACGCUCAGAAUCUAUUUGGCGGCGACCAACAGGUCUUAAAUGGAUAGCAGCAGCAACUCUGGUGCUAAUACAUGCGAUUGUUUCUCCAGAUGUGAAUUAUGGAGGAAAAGUUGACCUCAUCAGAGGCACGCCAUUCGACUGAGUGACCUAUCAGCUUGUACUUAGGGUCUUUACCUAGGUAGGCUAUCACGGGUAACGGGCGGUUACCGUCGGACUGCCGGAGAAGGCGCCUGAGAGAUAGCGACUAUAUCCACGGGUAGCAGCAGGCGCGAAACUUUCCCACUCGAGACUUUCGGAGGAGGUAAUGACCAGUUCCAUUGGUGCCUUUUGGUACUGUGGAUAGGGGUACGGUUUUCCACCGUACCGAAACCUAGCAGAGGGCCAGUCUGGUGCCAGCAGCUGCGGUAAUUCCAGCUCUGCGAGUUUGCUCCCAUAUUGUUGCAGUUAAAACGCCCGUAGUCUGAAUUGGCCAGCAAUGGUCGUACGUAUUUUUACGUUCACUGUGAACAAAUCAGGACGCUUAGAGUAUGGCCACAUGAAUGACUCAGCGCAGUAUGAAGUCUUUGUUUUCUUCCGAAAACAAGCUCAAUGAGAGCCAUCGGGGGUAGAUCUAUCUCAUGACGAGUGGUGGAAUACUUUGACUCAUGAGAGAGAAGCUGAGGCGAAGGCGUCUACCUAGAGGGUUUCUGUCGAUCAAGGGCGAGAGUAGGAGUAUCCAACAGGAUUAGAGACCCUGGUAGUUCCUACCUUAAACGAUGCCGACAGGAGUUUGUCAUUUGUUAAUGGCAGAAUCUUUGGAGAAAUCAUAGUUCUUGGGCUCUGGGGGAACUACGACCGCAAGGCUGAAACUUGAAGGAAUUGACGGAAGGGCACACCAGGGGUGGAGCCUGUGGCUUAAAUUUGAAUCAACACGGGGAAACUUACCAGGACCAGAUG
rnacentral:ncRNA from 2 species